GAUGAAGAACGUAGCGAAAUGCGAUAAGUAGUGUGAAUUGCAGAAUUCAGUGAAUCAUCGAAUCUUUGAACGCACAUUGCGCCCCUUGGUAUUCCAUGGGGCAUGCUUGUUCGAGCGUCAUUUGUACCUUCAAGCUCUGCUUGGUGUUGGGUGUUUGUCUCGCCUCUGCGUGUAGACUCGCCUCAAAACAAUUGGCAGCCGGCGUAUUGAUUUCGGAGCGCAGUACAUCUCGCGCUUUGCACUCAUAACGACGACGUCCAAAAGUACAUUUUUACACUCUUGACCUCGGAUCAGGUAGGGAUACCCGCUGAACUUAAGCAUAUCAAUAAGCGGAGGA
rnacentral:misc_RNA from 1 species